UACAGAGGUCUCAAGCGUUGUUCGGAUUCAUUGGGCGUAAAGGGUGUGUAGGUGGCGCGCUAAGUCGGGUGUGAAAUUUUGGAGCUUAACUCCGAAACUGCAUUCGAUACUGGCGUGCUUGAGGACUGGAGAGGAGACUGGAAUUCAUGGUGUAGCAGUGAAAUGCGUAGAGAUCAUGAGGAAGACCAGUGGCGAAGGCGGGUCUCUGGACAGUUCCUGACACUGAGACACGAAGGCCAGGGGAGCAAAACGGG
rnacentral:rRNA from 1 species